rnacentral:tRNA from 1 species
GAAUAGCUCAAUGGUGGAGCAAUCGGCUGUUAACCGAGAGGUUGUGGGUUCGAGUCCCACUUC